GCACCAGAGCUUAUAUUUGGAGCAACUGAGUAUACGAUGGCUAUUGACAUUUGGUCUGCUGGCUGAGUUCUUGCUGAGUUACUGCUUGGACAGCCUUUGUUUCCUGGUGAUAGUGGAGUCGACCAGCUCGUGGAGAUAAUCAAGGUUUUGGGCACUCCUACAAGGGAGGAAAUCAAAUGCAUGAACCCUAACUAUACAGAGUUCAAAUUCCUGCAGAUUAAAGCUCAUCCAUGGCACAAGAUAUUCCACAAGCAUAUGCCUCCAGAGGCUGUUGAUCUGGUUUCAAGACUACUACAAUACUCCCCUAACCUACGAUGCUCAGCUCUGGAUGCCUUGAUCCAUCCCUUUUUCGAUGAGCUACGUAAUCCCAACAGUCGCUUGCCAAAUGGACGGUUCCUUCCACCACUAUUCAACUUUAAAUCUCAUGAAUUGAAGGGGGUGCCAGUUGAGAUUUUAGUGAAAUUGAUCCCAGAGCAUGCAAGAAAGCGAUGCCCCUUUCUUGGUUUGUGAUUUGAUGUAAUGUAACAAACCCACGAGUGUUCUCUCCGUAUGGAGCUGUGUUCAAUCUAUUUAUGCUAUUUGUUCUCAGUUCUUCAAUGUAUCUUUUGUUCUAUUAUUACCUUGUUUUGUAAAAGCAGAUUUAGAGAUAUGCUACCUAUUUGCCCAAACCUCAAUGGGUGUCUGAUUACCUUGUUCUUGUAUCACAGCCAGAUUGUAACCUUACAUAGAGAAGACAAACAUCAGCAGUAUCUAAGUGUUUUAUCUGUACUGCUAUUUCUAGAUGACAAUAUCAGCACAUGUCCAGUUGUUUCUA